GGCCGUGUGCCCGAGUGGCGUCAGGGGCCGGCCUGCAAAGCCGGUUACGUCGGUUCGAAUCCGAUCACGGCCU
rnacentral:tRNA from 1 species